GUCUGAGCGUAGGUAUGCUCAGUCUGACCUGCCCGCUGACAAUCCGUUGUUGAAGAACCGCGGCAUCGUGACCAUGCGAAGGUAGCAUAAUCAUUUGUCUUUUAAUUGAAGGCUGGAAUGAAUGGUCGAACGAGAAGUAAGCUGUCUCUUUAAUGAUAACUGAAUAUUACCUUUAAGUGAAAAAGCUUAAAUGUCACGAGGGGACGAUAAUACCCUAUAAAGCUUC
rnacentral:rRNA from 1 species